ACAUUUAACCCCAGAAUAUUGUGCACUCCUGCUUCAGUGUCUUGCAACCAUAUGAACUAUUUUCCAUGCUUUGGUUUUGUUCCCAUGUGACAUUUUCAUGCUCCUCACUUACAGCCGCUCUUUGGCUGCUAAUGCUCCAAGAAUUUCUGCUAGCAGAGGCAUUGGGCCAGGAGGUUGUAUGAUUCAGACAGUUUUUGGCAGUGAAAAGCAGAGGAGGAGAUUGUGGAAAUGCUGUGAAAUUCAUGAAUCAAAUCCUGGGCAUCUAUGGCUUGGUGCCAUUAAGAGUGGAAAAGAUCUCUAAGGUCAUCAAGUCCAAUCAUCCAACCACCAAUCUAUGCCUGCUAAUCCGUGUCCCUCCAUGCUGCAUCUCUGUGGUUCUUGAAUGCCUCCAGGGACAGUGACACCAACGCCUCACUUCAGAGCGCUGUGCCGGGAUCUUUCCAACUGCAGCCUUCAGGACAGGCUCCUGCGCCGAUACUGAGCGGAAAGACCGUUGAGUAUUUUUACCAUGAGACCACAGGAACGGAUUGGCACCACAAUAAUAGUUAUAAUGGGUCCAAGAGAGGAUAAACUACAGGACAUGAUCACGGGGAGUAGCAGCAGUAGGAUGGUGAUGGCUCUGUCAUACAUCAACUUGAUAAGGUCAGCCACAUCGUCCUCAUGGAGAGCAGCCAAGGUGCUCCAGGUGCAGCUGAGGUAACAGCUCCUUCCCUCACAGUCCCCAUGCUCCUGAAAACAGCACUGUGAUCCCAUACAAACUGUAACAAUUUGGAUGUUUUGAAAGGUCCUUGCCAGCGGUGAGGGACUCCAGACACACUUCUGUGUUGCAGUACUGCUUCCCGUUAGGCUUGCAUGUGAUUUUCUUUUCUUUAGUGCUUCACCAAGAUUCUACUACCCCACUGCGAAGCACAUCUCAUCUGUGCAGCUGUCUUUGGGAAAAGGGCUAUUAACCUCCUGUAUUAUUUAAAAAAAAAAAAAGAGAUCUGCAAGCACAGUAUCUGUAAUGCACAGCACAGGGGUGUGAGAUGGUGUUGUGGGUUCGAGCCUGUUCUCACCAUUAACCUGUCUUCUCAGGUCUGUGCCAGCACUGGGGUAUGCCCCCUGCCCUUGAUGUCCCCAACCCUAACCCUGCCACUGCUACCAGCUUCACGCCUGUGACGCCAAUGGUUGUGACAGCAGGAAAGAUGAUCUCCUCCAGUCAUCUGGCCUGUAGCCACGUCAUCUCUUCAUCAGCCUUUGGGGAGUGCUUCCCACCCUGCACAUGGCUGGAGGCCGGUGUCCCUGGCCAGGGGCUGCUGCCUUGGGUCUCUGCCCCCGGUGCUCUGACUCACCAAGAUGAGUCUGAAACAAAGAGCUCUCGUAAAAUCUACAGGAAGAUGUAUGCGAAGAUAGAGAUCUCAUUUACCGAGACACCACCAACUCCUCACUGGAACCAGCAAAUGAAAAAGUAGCACUCUUGUGCCCAGCAAAACCCCAGACCUGCUUACUGGGUAAACUCUGAGCCAGGUAGGAGUAGGGCACAGCAGAGACAUGAAGCAGUGAGCUUCAGGCUAGCGAUCCCAGGAGAGAAUUGGACGUGAGAUGAGGUACUUCAAAAAUAGAAAACUCACAUCUGAAAUGAGCAGAAAAACCACAGAUAGGGACAGGGUGAAGAUGUGGCUAAACUGCUGAGGAAUUCCCCCCAUGGAGUGCACCACGCAUCACCGUUAGCUGCUGCCUCCCAGCCCCACACGGCCACCAUGGAGCCAAGGGGAGGCUUGGGGGGAUUUCUGCAGGGACUGGGGCAGCACAUAGGGAAGCAGAGCCUCACGCAGCAACCCCAACUCACAGCUCCAUUUCUCCAGACUGUAAAUGAGCCAGAGUACAGCAUGCACUUGCUUCAGCCGCGCAGGGCAGGUGGCACUGCUAUCAUGCCCUGACAUGCCUUAGACAUGCCUCCAUGCUCUGCUAUCUGAAAGGGAUCCUUAGCUUUCUUCCCUCCCUGGUUUCAGUUUUGAAAGCAGCAGCAGCUCCAUACCACAGAUGUGGCAGGAGAUGCUCCUACAGUCCCCUCAGUGCCCGGGCGAGAGGUCAGCCUGGUCCACAACUUCAGCCCAAGGCAGAGGGCAGCGUGAGGCUGAGGCCACGCUUCCAAAGGGACCGGAUGGUUGUUUUGAGAAAACACUGGGAAAGGGCUCAUUCCAGCCCCUGCUGCAGUGCAGGCUCUGAGGGGCAUCCACUGUUUUUUUUCCUCUACAGUUGUCAUUGUCGGAAACCAUUAAGGAAUGAGCCAGCAAAGGCCCGGAAAGAUUCCAUGAGUAAUAAUCUUGGAGCUUUGCCCAGGCUUAACAACAGAAUAACAAACAACAACAUGAACAAAGGGAGAGCAGGCUGUGCACCAAGAGGUCUCCAGUGGCUGCAGGAUCUAUGAACCUCAGGAAGACAGUAUUAGGAACCUGCAGCACCCCACAAUGCACAACCCUACUUCCACACACAGGUGAAGGGGACUGCAAUAUCAUCACCCACUCAUUCUAUGCCUUCUGCCUCUCCGAUGCUUUGCUGUCUUCCUUUGGGAACAAGGAUGCUGAAGAUAGCAGGACUACACCAGCUGUUUUGGAAACAGGAUGCUCUGCUUGAGCGUCAGCAGGGCUGCCUUUGCAGCAGGCAGGAGUGAAACUGAGAAACCCAAAGCAAAGGGAUAAUGCAGCUGCUGUGUGAACAGCUCCAGGAUGCUGAGCUCAGCUGUAAGUGGGGGUGUAGGGACAGGCAGUGGCACAUCCUUGCCCUUCAAAUGCAGGCCAGGAAAGGGAACCAUAUCUCAGCAAGGCACCUUGCACAGGAACCAGGCUGCUCCAUGGGGCACUGCACUGCUGUGGGGCAGGAACAGGGCCAGCCACAGGAGGGAUGCACACAGCUGCAACACAGGAGAAAACUAGAGGUGAGGUGCUGACAGAGGCAGCCCAGAAGAGGUGGAGGUGCCCAAGACUAGGCUGGAUGGGACCCUGGACAGCCUGAUAUGGUGGGAGCAGCCAGCUCAUGGCAGGGGGUUGGAACAGGGUGAGCAUUAAAGUCCCUUCUAACCAAAACCAUUCCGCAAUCCUAUAAAAGCCUACUUAAGCCCAAAAGACUUGUAUCUGAACAUCAACCCUGUAUGUUUUAAGUGGAUGAGGAUGGAGAGAAAGCUGGUGGGUGAGCAUUAGUCUGAAACCAAAACUUAAUCUGUGACACGCUUUAAAAACAAACAAAUACGACAACUUGAAACAAUCUUCUGGUGAAUAUUUUGGAGAAAGCGAGGGCAGAGGUAAAUAUAAAGCAGGCUGAUCUGCCUUGUGAUUUCUUUCUGGUGGGAAAAUAGCAUUUCUAAUAAGAAAUGAAAGUUUCAGUGGAAAACGUCUGAAAUGUUGCUUUUCCCUAAAGCAACAUGAGAGUAUCUGCUACCAUCAGCACUUCACACUGAGAAACAAGUCCAUAGUUCACAGCAACACCUACUCCCUGCUGGCUUUGCUAAAUGCUGGCUGGAAGAUCCACUCCUGAGACAGACACCAAGCACCCUGGGAGACUGCUGUUGUCCAGCAGACAAAAGGAAAGCCCUCAAGCAGGCUUAUCUACCAUCAGCUGCAGCAGGGUGAAGGUGCCGGGAAGACUCCUCAGACAGGGCCAAGCCACCAUGUAGGAUGUAACAGUACCUUACUGCAUGGGACAUGGCAGGAGGCAUAAGGAAGAAUAAGGAAAAAAGGCCACAGCUCAUACUUGGAUAGGAACAUGGCUGCAGCACUCUAGAGCAAGGACUGAAGGUCAUUGUAGGGCUGAUAAAGGUUUUGGGUUGUUCCAUGGCACAACCAGCAACCUUUCCUGUAGGCAAAGGUGGCCCCAGCUCCCCUUCUCUUUCUGCUUAUCGAAGUGGAGUUUCAGAAGUGGCAUGUCAUUGCACAGAAACAGAUAUCUGAUUCCGGGCACUUUUAAAUGCAACAAAGACAUAGAAAAACCCACCAACAGGAAACUGGUUUCAGCAAUUCAAAUGGAAACAAUGCUUUAAUAAUAGCUAGCCCUUUUAUAACGUACAGCAGUCAAGGCAGUCACUGAGCUGACACUUGUCCUCUUCAGCGAUGAUCCCUGCAGCACCACUCAGACACCAGGCCAGAGGUGGCCAGGUGAGCCCUCGAGCACCUUCCUGGCCAUCCAGCAAAGGAGAGGGCAGGGUGGAGGGCAAUGCCUUCUAAUUGUUUCAACAUGCUGUACCCCUACUGUUACAGGAAGGCCAGUGCUUCAACAAGAGACCCAGAGGCUCUUGUUGUACCACUGACACAUAAACCCUUUUAGCUUACAUGGCCCUCAGCUAGAACAAGCACAGGCCUCCAACACUUCACAUGAGCGUCUCAGUCUAUGAGUGUGAAAACCCCAUCAGCCAGAUGCUAUCUAGAGACAAAUUCAUUUCCCGGCAAUAAAUUAAUCAAAAUACUGUAAAAGAGAACUUCACUUGCAUGAAGCAUUUCUCAGUGAAAAGAUUAUUCUUACAGUUAAAUUCACACACUUAAAACUCACUUCAGCCUGUUGUGAACUAGAAAAAAGGAAACCACCAAUUAGAACCUUUGACUGCAACCAAACUCAGUCCCAGGACUGCAGGUAAGUUACAGAGGCUGCUCAGGGGUGGCCAGCAGAAAGCUGCACCUUGCUCCUGACAAACAGCCUUACCUGGAGCACGAGGGAUGCAUAGACACACCACACAACUCCUCAAAAGAUGCAAAGUCUUGAAGGAAACUGGCUUGCACUGCUCUCUCAACAUGAACUAAGAUCUCCUUGUGUCUCCCUGCCAAGGGACUGUGUUUGGACACAAGAGAUGUGAGUUUCUUGCAACCUUCUUGCAGCUGUGCAAGUAAGGUGGGGAUUACCAAGUAAACAACAUUCCCUUGAGCCUGUGUUUGUCUCAAGGUUUGGUAAAUAUUGGCCUUCUCAGACAGGAUGGGUGCAUUUACCUGAUCCAGCCCAGCUUCCCUGUCCCAGGAGGAGAGCAGAACCUUUUUCAAACCCCAGUUUGGGGCUCCUGGGCAUUCACAAAUACAGUGAUUUCCCCCCCCGCCCAGAUUAAAGGAAAACUAGACAGUGAGUAUGAUAAGAAGCUCUAGCCUAUGCUACAGGUGCAGGACUGUGGAAAAAGCCUUCAGUGGUGAAGAUGUCCUGGAAAGCAGGACAGAUUGCCAAAGAUAAGUGAAAGCUUCCAUUGGAAGUUUUUAGAAUAACAUCCAUCAGGAAGAGCUUAGGUCAAGCUCAGCCUACAUGGGUCUUGGGGCAUAAAUCUCCCACCCUAUGAAACAGGGCUGCCACUUUCCUUAUUCAAGUUUUUUUGUGCAGCAGGUGUCCCAGUUAACCUGCUUUCUGUAGUGUGGAACUGAUGACUCAGCUCUUCAGAACAAGAGGCUCUGUCUGCAGAGCCUUCCUUCUAGCACAUACAAACAAAAGAGAGCAGCACUUCUUUUGCUGUGCUUCAUUGUGUUUUGGAACUCACUUGUGAUGCUCUCAGAAGCUCCAUGCUCCUUUCAGACCUGAAAUCCUCACAGCUGCCACAAAGUUUCUAGCAAACAAACUCAGAGCUUUCAUUUUACACCGGAAACAACAAUUAUGUGGGAAAUCCCCCUCCCACACUCCAGAGUCCAUACUUUGGGUAGCUAGAGCUCACCAUAUACAGCUAUAUAGGUUCAGUAUUGGUUUUAAGAUCUACAAUGUAAAAAGUCACUGGGGUAAACUUUUAAGAUAAGCAUACCAAGCCAGUUCAGAUUGAGCCCUCAAAUAUAAAAAUGGCAUCAGAGACUAGGGGACCAAAACAAGCCUUCAUUCUCCUCCUCCCCCUACCCUCUUGCUCAACAUCACACUGCCCUACAUCACUAAAUACAACCUACCAAGCGUAGAGCUGCUCUCAUUCUGCCAGGCCCUGAGUUCUCUGCAGUUGCCUUUCCCAGCUUCUCCAUUAUCCUGAAGUGGUCUUCUCAGGAUGGGAGCUGCUGCUAUCUGUACAGACGCUGCCUCUUGCUGUGCCUAAAUCCGGUGCUCAUCCCUCAAAAGGAUGCAGGAGAACCACCUGCCCAGCUCCCUGCUGCAACUCUGGUCUAACACAAGCACUGGUUCAUGAAAUGAAGUUAUAGGCAGGUAACCAAGAAACACAGUAGGGAUACACAUUCUCCUCAGUUAAGGGUGCAACAGCAAAGGAAAUUGCAUGGGAAAGGGAAAAAAAUUACAGUUCUCUUUUUCCAGUACUUUCCAAAGGAAAAGCAGAAUGAAGAGGAUCCAUAAGCUUCCUCUUCCAUUUUCUCCCUGAGGAAGCUUUUCCAAUUCCACUAUCCAGAUGGCACAAGAAUAAAGAACCAAGUCAUCUUUCAGCAGAUACAUGUACAGGUAUGGUUAAAAACCCAGUGAAUUAACUUCUAAUAUGAGAAUGCUUAAUAUGCCUUCAUAAGCCCAUUCUCUUUGGCACCUAAAGAGCACAGAGAUGACACAGGAGACAGUAAUGCAGCUGAAACACCACAUGCAGAGUCCAUACCCUUCUACAACCUGACCUGAAUGGCUCCCUGCAAAAUUAAGAUUGAAUCUGCUAUCCCAUCUCAGGGAUGGUGAAGCUGCUUGCUGGGAUGUCCGAAUCCUUAGCUGUACUGACAGGCACAGGGGCUGCUUCUUGCCCUAAGUCCAGGCAGCUCCUGCAAUGUUUGAACACUACCCUAAAAUAGGAUUAGACAAAGACUAGGCUGAGGGGAAAACACUACCCCAGAACCCUGAUUUUACUGUUUUAGUAACUGGUGAGAGAUCCCAUGACAGCUGGUGCUCGUUUUUCAUAUUUUUGUGAUGCAGAAUAGUUCAGAAGACAGGCUACAAGAGAUUUUUCCAUUUUACUUUGUUUUCUCAUCUUCUAAUCCAAAGUUUCCUCAACGUGUCACACAACUGUUCAUCUUCACGUCCUAACAGUCAACUGUUUCCACUUAAAUGAAUGGAAAGGACCACCUGCAAGAGAAGCUGGACAAGGCUCACACAGGCUGAACUCAGAAGGGAAACUACCUCAGGGGGAUGGCAAGGAGACAGUUAUCACAUUCAGAAAUAGACACACACAAUUUAAAACCAACUCUACACCCUCACAUUUAUUUCUCUUAAAAAAAAAAAAAAGUCUGCAAACAAGUCUCAUUCCUCCUUUCCAAUUUAGUGGGGUUGCUGCAAGCACUCCAUGGCACAAGACUCUUGGGAAGCAGAGAAAAUGUACCACUUACAUUACCUCAGUAGUAUUUCCAUAGGAAAAGCCGACUCCUAACUUACAUCUUCCUUGAAGCACAAACAUGGGAUUUUAAGAAGCAUCCCAGCAUCAAGUCCAAGGAACAGCACAGCAGCCAUCAGGGGCCCAACGUGGCUGCCAGGCUCUAGCAGAGUAGAAGGCCCUCCUUUGCUGCCAGGCGCUGGCGGUGGAUCUUAUCCUGCUGCAGCUCCUCAUGGUUUGGAUGCCACAGUUUCAUGACAAUUCUCUCAAUGUUUAGGGCGUAGACAGUGUGUGCAGGAAUAACUUCCUUGUGUACCUAGAGGUGAGUUAGAAAGAAAGUUUCACGCUUUCAUACUUACUUCCCCACACUGCCCAUGGAAGAACCUGCAAGAUGAUCAGAGCCAGCCCUGCAGAGCAGGAACACAGGCUGUCACACACAAGGAGAGCUGUAACCUGCCAGCACAGAACAGUCUGUUACAACACUUUGUAAUGGAGUAGCAGGAUAGAGAAAUCUUGCUCCAAAAACACACAGAAUACAGUUCUGCUUGGCCUAACACACAGCCCAGAUGCUCAAUUACAAUUCUUAAAAUCUGCCUCCACAGCCUUGAGGUAAAAACCUCAAAGCCUGCUCACAGCAGUAAAGAGCAAGGCAGGAGAGGAAGGGUGGAAUCUCUCACAGCUAGCUUCAAAUUAGCCUGCUGGGCCCCCGCACUGCCAAAGAGGGACCCACAAACAGGCAUCUCUGGAGGAAAAUUCACCCACAGCACCUCUGACACCUCCCCAGGGCUGAGGCAAUCAUACAUAACCCACUGCAACAGCCAGCAUGCACGAUCCAGUAUUCUUCUAAGCAGCCAUGUGGAACACAGAGGAAAAAGGGACAUGCCAGGCAGGUCACUCUGCUGCACUGCUGUCAAAAGGGGGAGCAUUCUUUUGUAGAGAUGGCAAUUUCCUCAUCAACUCUCUGACCAAGGGGGACAGAACGGGCAUUAGACCAUGAGUUGACUUUGUUACCCGUUACCUAAUAGAGGGAGCAAGUCAAAGCCAAAUAAGUUUGAGAGAGAAAUAAGGAAACUGACUGUGAGAGAAUGAAAUCAAACCCGUCUCUGUGCACAUAAACCAAAUCCAAGAGUGGCAGCUGAUACACAGGACAGCACUGCCCUGGUCACAAAGUGUGAUACGAAGAGCUUACCUGUAAUGCCUCAAAAAGGUCAUACAUGUUCACUGGAGGGAGGGAUGCUGGCAAAGUAUCUCCAGAGCACGCCAGCAGUAGCGCUGCCUGCUGCUCUGCAUCAUCAGGUGGGGGCUGAGGGGCUACGCUCUGACCAGCAGAAGGUGUCACACAGGCUGGAGGGCUGCAGACAGCAAGCAGUAAAACAUUCCAGUCACGAAAGCAGCACUAGCUUUGGUAGUAACAUAGCAGGGGCUCAGCCCCAGGGUUUGCUUUUCUGUAUUUGUUAAUAUAGCCUUUGUGUAUAUGAAAUUCUAUACACUAAAGUCACUUAAUAAAUCUCAGUUUAAUAAAAACAAUGAAAACUGA